rnacentral:rRNA from 1 species
CAGUCGCCGCGGGAAUACGUAGGUGGCAAGCGUUGUCCGGAAUUAUUGGGCGUAAAGGGCUCGCAGGUGGUUUCUUAAGUCUGAUGUGAAAGCCCCCGGCUCAACCGGGGAGGGUCAUUGGAAACUGGGAAACUUGAGUGCAGAAGAGGAGAGUGGAAUUCCACGUGUAGCGGUGAAAUGCGUAGAGAUGUGGAGGAACACCAGUGGCGAAGGCGACUCUCUGGUCUGUAACUGACGCUGAGGAGCGAAAGCGUGGGGAGCGAACAGGAUUAGAUACCCGAGUAGUCCCUGUCUCUUAUAA